UUGUGUUAAGCUACUAAGGGCGUACGGUGGAUGCCUUGGCGUCAAAUGCCGAUGAAGGACGUGGAACACUGCGAUAAGCCUCGGGGAGCCGUGUGCAGGCUGCGAUCCGGGGAUUUCCGAAUGGGGAAACCCGGCGCCGGGACGCAAGUCUCCGGUGUCAUCCCCUCGCUGAACACAUAGGCGAGGGGAGGGGAACCUGGGGAACUGAAACAUCUUAGUACCCAGAGGAAAAGAGAUCAUUCCGCUAGUAGUGGCGAGCGAACGCGGAAAAGCCCAAACCGACCUGGCUUGCCGGGUCGGGGUUGUAGGACCGGCAGAUGGGAGUAAGAAAUCGACGGGCUAGCAGAAUGGUGUUGAAAAGCCAACCAUAGAGGGUACCAGUCCCGUAUGCAAAAGCUUGUCGACUCCCGCCGUGUUCCUGAGUACCGCCGGGCACGCUAAUCCGGUGGGAAGCUGGGGAGUCCACUCUCCAAGGCUAAAUACAUUUGGCGACCGAUAGUGAACAAGUACCGUGAGGGAAAGGUGAAAAGUACCCCUGUUAGGGGAGUGAAAUAGAACCUGAAACCGUAAGCUUACAAGCAGUCGGAGGGCUAAUAGUGUGACUGUGCUCUGGAGAGAUCCAGGUGCGCGGCGCUAAGCCUGACGGCGUGCCUUUUGGAGAAUGAGCCGGCGAGUUAAUCUCUGUGGCAAGGUUAAGGGAGUUACACCCGGAGCCGUAGCGAAAGCGAGUCUGAAUAGGGCGUCCAGUCGCAGGGAUUAGACACGAAACCGAGUGAGCUACCCAUGGCCAGGGUGAAGCGAGUCUAAACGCUCGUGGAGGCCCGAACCUUUCGCUGAUGCAAAAGCGUGGGAUGAGCUGUGGGUAGAGGUGAUAUGCCAAACGAACUCGGAGAUAGCUUGUUCUCCCCGAAAUAGCUUUAGGGCUAGCGUCACGCGUUCAGUACCGGAGGUAGAGCACUGGAUGGGCUAGGGGGCUUAUCGCUUACCAAACCCAACCAAACUCCGAAUGCCGGUACUCCAGAGCGUGGCAGUCGGACUACGGGAGAUGAGUUUCGUAGUCGAGAGGGAAAGAGCCCAGACCAUCGGCUAAGGUCCCCAAAUCUGAGCUAAGUGGAAAACGAUGUGGGACUGUCGAGACAGCCAGGAGGUUGGCUUAGAAGCAGCCAUCCUUUAAAGAGUGCGUAACAGCUCACUGGUCAAACGGUCCUGCGCGGAUAAUUCAACGGGGCUUAAGCUCGGUACCGAAGCCAUGGGUCUCGGUCCUCUGCGGAGGGCCGGGGCGGUAGGGGAGCGUUCUGCCUGCAGGGAAGGUCGACCGAGAGGACGGCUGGAGCGGGCAGAAGUGAGAAUGCCGGCACGAGUAGCGU
rnacentral:rRNA from 1 species